rnacentral:rRNA from 1 species
GACGAACGCUGGCGGCGUGUUUAACACAUGCAAGUCGAACGGAAAGGCCUCUUUCGGGGGGUACUCGAGUGGCGAACGGGUGAGUAACACGUGAGUAACCUGCCCUUGACUUUGGGAUAACUUCAGGAAACUGGGGCUAAUACCGGAUAGGAGCUCCUGCUGCAUGGUGGGGGUUGGAAAGUUUCGGCGGUUGGGGAUGGACUCGCGGCUUAUCAGCUUGUUGGUGGGGUAGUGGCUUACCAAGGCUUUGACGGGUAGCCGGCCUGAGAGGGUGACCGGCCACAUUGGGACUGAGAUACGGCCCAGACUCCUACGGGAGGCAGCAGUGGGGAAUAUUGCACAAUGGGUGGAAGCCUGAUGCAGCAACGCCGUGUGCGGGAUGACGGCCUUCGGGUUGUAAACCGCUUUCGCUCAUGACGAAGCUUUGUGUGACGGUAGUGGGUAAAGAAGCACCGGCUAACUACGUG